CUGUGCCAUAAAAGGAGGCUGUUGUCCAGUCACUGGGCAACUGGGGCAGCAGAUGGUCAUCUUCCCUUCCACUAACAUCAGCUGGGAGGGAGGGGAGUUGAGUCCUUCUAUGAAGAGGACACCUUUUGCCAAAUAUGCGGCGGUGACUCAGCCAUAACCCGAAAGGCAAACAACCUAGUCGCCGAUCCGCGCUGUUACGAGGCAGGAAUGGAACUGGGACGAGACUCGAGCAUUGGUCGAAAUCCCCAAGCCACAACGCCAAACACAGCCAGGCCGGCCUGACGUCAAGUGACGAGAAGUGAGCCAGUGGGCCUUUUGACGCUGGCGUGAAUCGGGCCAAUGAACAUCGAAAAGCUUUUACAUGCCUAGCUUCCUCCGGGCCUCCCAGUGUUUACUGCUACACGACGAGAUGCCUAGCAAGGUAAAGAGGAAGAGGCGAAUUAUUUGGCGACUGGCCAGAACGGACUAUUAACAAACACCACUGAAAAGUCUAGGUUCAUUGAUCUCCCUGUGGCCUAGAUAUGUCUCUAAGAGGAGUCCAGCCAAUCUCAACUGCCCAGCAACUACAG